rnacentral:rRNA from 1 species
UACGAAGGGUGCAAGCGUUACUCGGAAUUACUGGGCGUAAAGGGCGCGUAGGUGGUUUGAUAAGGGUGUGGUGAAAGUCCGGAGCUCAACUCCGGAUCUGCCGUGCCGACUGUCAAACUCGCGGGCUGUAGAGGCAGACGGAAUUCCGGGUGUAGCGGUGGAAUGCGUAGAGAUCCGGAGGAAGACCGGUGGCGAAGGCGGUCUGCUGGGCAGUUUCUGACACUGAGGCGCGACAGCGUGGGGAGCAAACAGG